UGAGCGUUGGGCUGUGAAGUUCGUUGUUCUGUCGAACCUGAUUGAGUGAUGUUCUCGCUAACCCUAAUACGGCGGAGAAAAAACCAAGGUCCUCUUCCCCCUUCGAAGGGCGGUGACCUGAUGCGUUUGCACUUCUUCACAUCAGUCGAAACGGUAUGAAUGAAGGCUUCGUGAUUAAUCUCAUUGAUUCACUCCCCCCACUGCGUCGUCUUCAAUGCUUCUUCGAUCUAAAAGGCUGUGAUUUCUUAGUAUAAAUAUGUGGAGGCUAGCAAGCAAUGGGGCAAGCGGCGGAGCAAGCACGGAGCAAGCGGCAGAGAGCUAAUGGACCAAGUGACGGGCAGAUCAAGAUGGAUAGCCAUGGAACAAGUUACGGAGAGUGUGAAGAGAGAGAUAGCAUCGAUUGCUGCAGUUCAAGCUCUCACAUGGGAGCCGAUAGGCUAUCGGACAUGGUGAGUUUAUAAGAGCUGGAAUUUUUUUUAUUUUUUUGUACGAUAAAGGGAAUGAAGGAUUAGUUUAAGGGAAAUUAGGUGAGAUGACGCUACAAAAAAGCAUAAUUGAUUGAGUAGCCAAUUACCCUAACUUUUCACUGUUUCACAUGUCUUUUAUAUAAUAUUGCUGUAUUACCCCUGCUUGAAACCGGAGAAACCUGCUAGAAAAAAAUAAAAUUAAAAAUUACUAUUUUGCAAAAAUAUGUCGUGUCUCUUCCAGAUUCACACCCCUUUGAAUAGUUUCACUCCAGAUUCUCUCCACCGCGUUUUCUCUGAUUACAAUCCCUUGCUGAUUCGCAUUCACAUUCCAAUUUGUGUUGAUCCUUGCCGAAAAGACCUGUGUAGUGGCGAUCACCUCCAUCUAUGCAAACGGCACCAUCUUCCGUCACCACCGUAUGUUCUUCUCUUCUAUUUACUGUAUCAACAACAAAAUCUGUCUCUCUGAUACGGUUAUAUGUAUUAUCUCCAUUGAUGUUGCGAGAUACAGUUACAUUUUUUGGCAGUGGAUGAAGUUGAUCGGAGAAGAUAAACAGUGUCUGUUUAUUUUGUUCUAUUCUAUUCGCAUAUGGAAUAGAAAUGUAAAACAAUAUGUGUUAUGUUUGUUCUAUUCUAUUCGCAUAUGGAAUAGAAAUGUAAAACAAUAUGUGUUAUGUUUGUUCUAUUCCUGUUAUGAAAUGCGAUAUAUUCUGCUA